GACGAACGCUGGCGGCGUGCUUAACACAUGCAAGUCGAGCGGUAAGGCCCUUUCGGGGGUACACGAGCGGCGAACGGGUGAGUAACACGUGGGUGACCUGCCCUCAGCUCUGGGAUAAGCCUGGGAAACCGGGUCUAAUACUGGAUAUGACUCCAUGACGCAUGUUGGUGGGGUGGAAAGCCUUGUGCGGCUGAGGAUGGGCCCGCGGCCUAUCAGCUUUGUUGGGUGGGGUGANGGCCUACCAAGGCGACGACGGGUAGCCGGCCUGAGAGGGCGACCGGCCACACUGGGACUGAGACACGGCCCAGACUCCUACGGGAGGCAGCAGUGGGGAAUCUUGCGCAAUGGGCGAAAGCCUGACGCAGCGACG
rnacentral:rRNA from 1 species